rnacentral:rRNA from 1 species
GAUGAACGCUGGCGGCGUGCCUAAUACAUGCAAGUCGAGCGAACAGAUAAGGAGCUUGCUCCUUUGACGUUAGCGGCGGACGGGUGAGUAACACGUGGGUAACCUACCUAUAAGACUGGGAUAACUUCGGGAAACCGGAGCUAAUACCGGAUAAUAUUUCGAACCGCAUGGUUCGAUAGUGAAAGAUGGUUUUGCUAUCACUUAUAGAUGGACCCGCGCCGUAUUAGCUAGUUGGUAAGGUAAUGGCUUACCAAGGCGACGAUACGUAGCCGACCUGAGAGGGUGAUCGGCCACACUGGAACUGAGACACGGUCCAGACUCCUACGGGAGGCAGCAGUAGGGAAUCUUCCGCAAUGGGCGAAAGCCUGACGGAGCAACGCCGCGUGAGUGAUGAAGGUCUUCGGAUCGUAAAACUCUGUUAUUAGGGAAGAACAUACGUGUAAGUAACUGUGCACGUCUUGACGGUACCUAAUCAGAAAGCCACGGCUAACUACGUG